rnacentral:rRNA from 1 species
GACGAACGCUGGCGGCGUGCUUAACACAUGCAAGUCGAACGGAAAGGCCCUGCUUUUGUGGGGUGCUCGAGUGGCGAACGGGUGAGUAACACGUGAGUAACCUGCCCUUGACUUUGGGAGAACUUCAGGAAACUGGGGCUAAUACCGGAUAGGAGCUCCUGCUGCAUGGUGGGGGUUGGAAAGUUUCGGCGGUUGGGGAUGGACUCGCGGCUUAUCAGCUUGUUGGUGGGGUAGUGGCUUACCAAGGCUUUGACGGGUAGCCGGCCUGAGAGGGUGACCGGCCACAUUGGGACUGAGAUACGGCCCAGACUCCUACGGGAGGCAGCAGUGGGGAAUAUUGCACAAUGGGCGGAAGCCUGAUGCAGCAACGCCGCGUGCGGGAUGACGGCCUUCGGGUUGUAAACCGCUUUCGCCUGUGACUAAGCGUGAGUGACGGUAAUGGGUAAAGAAGCACCGGCUAACUACGUG